GAAUACUUUAAAGGAUGGGGUUCCCACCUCUUCGGCCAUGCCUCAAAGAGGAAGAAAUGGGUUAAAAAGGAACUAGAAGAGAUAGAAAAAUUGGAGGAAUGUGCCCCCCUGGAUUCUGAAACUUAUGAGAGAAGGACCAUCUUGUGCGCCGCACUUAAUGAGAUCCUUGCUGAUGAAGAGCUUUUUUGGCUUCAGCACUCGAAUGAGCGAUGGCUGCUCAAAGGGGAUCAUAACACAACCUAUUUUCAUCGUAUAGCCAACAGAAAAAAGAGGAAAAACACCAUUCACUCCCUCACUAAUGGGGACAUGGUUAUAGAAGGCACAAAGGAGCUUUUGGCUCAUGCUACAUCCUAUUAUAAAGAACUAUUUGGCCCGGCUAGUGGAAAUCUUUUCCACCUCUCCUCAGAAACCUGGUCUAAUGAUGAAAAGCUUAUUGAAGAUGAUAACCUUAUCCUAACGAAUGUGUUCACAGAAGAAGUUAAAAAGGCCUUAUUUGGUAUGGAAAGCAAUAGGGCUCCUGGACCUAAUAAUAUCCCUGCUGAUUUUUAUAAACACUCAUGGGAUUUCGUCAAAAAAGAUAUAAUGCGGUUGUUUGAAGCCUUUCAUAACAAUACCCUGGAUGUAGCCCGUCUGAAUUAUGGCAUUAUCACCUUGACUCCAAGCUGAAUGGGGCCAAACGAAUUCAGCAAUAUCAUCCUAUCUGCCUGCUUAGAUGCCCCUAUAAGCUUAUUACUAAGGUGUUGGACAAUAGGGUGGCUAUCUUCGCUAACAAGCUGGUUAGUAAACACCAAAAUGCCUUCAUCAAACAUAGGAACAUUAUGGAUGGGAUCCUUAUGUUGCAUGAAGUGUUGCAUCACACGCACCAUAAGAAGGAAGUUGAUGUGGUGUUGA
rnacentral:rRNA from 1 species